CACAUUCUAAUUUGCUGAACAAACUCUACAGUGUAGAAGAAAAAGUACAGGAACUCUUUCUGCCCAGCCUAGGUAUCUCCAAUAUUUAAAAGAGUAAGCUCAAAGUUGGCAUUUUAAAAACCCCACUCAGAUUUAUUAUCACCAUCAUACAAUGGUAAAAGCCACUGUUAUUUGUUUGUCUAUGAUACAAAAUAGAAAAACAACUUUCUGUUGAUUUAAAAAACAAAACAUUUUUACAACCUGGUGUUCAAGGUUAUGUUUAACGUAUAGUUCCAAACAUGACCCUACCCAGGUCCAGAAAAUGAUUCAUGCAUACUCAUGUUGCUAUACAGUAAUUACUAUACUGAUUUUUUA